AGUGCCUUUACUCCACAAUGGGACAGGAUGGUGGAAAUACAUCACACCACAGCAUGGAACAGGGGGGAGGUGGUGGCUUAGGGCCACCUUGUGAGCUACGGGCUGUCCUGCAGGACCCAGGCUCAUCUCCAUAUGGGGACACCAGCACCUUUUGACCUCUCCUGUGUAAACAGGCCUUUCCUGGGAAACAAUUUUGGUCUGAUAAUGCUGCAGUUAUUAACCAGAGGCAGCUAUUCAGCAAAGCAACACUUGCCACCACCAGUGCUUCCAGAGGAAGGAAUGAGCUCAGAGCAUCAGGGAUUACUCAAGCAUCAAAAACUUUUACCUUGCUAGAGGUCAGCAAAGGGAAGGAGUGACAAGAGGGAUAAUAUAAUCACUCCUGCAUAUUUACCACCUUCUUGCAGAGAGAUAACCAAACACUUCAAAUAUGAGUGGACUCAAAGACCAUGGUAGUUAAUGGAAACCUGUCAACUGACAUUAAUGCUCAGACUUUAAAUUAUUUUCUUCCAAGCAAAGAGGAAAAGAACAAAUUCCACCAUCUACAUAGCAGGUCAUAAAUCCUUAAGUGAAUGGCAGGACCUUGAGAAGGGUUCUCCUGAUACAAUACCCAGCUGCUGAUGGUCAAAUCAACCCACCUUCUCAGCCCAACAGUGAAAUUCUCUCUCAGCCACCAUGAUGGCAUUUGUCUUAAUGGAGCUCUCAUGAAAAUUCACAAAGCAGGAUCAAAGCUUCCCUAAAAUCAAAUGCAUUUUGCAGACACAAGACAUAUCAGAUGCAUGGCAGGGGUCAGACACUUACACAUUAUGAUUGGA